UCCCCUCCCACUGCAGUAGAACAGAUCGAUCCCCUCGUUGCCUGCUGCUCGUUCGGUACGCUCCGCCGCCACUGCUCCCCUCGUCGCCGCUUCAGCUCCAUCCCCUCCGCUCCCCUCUGCGCACCGUGCCGCCUCUGCCCCCUCCUCGCCGCCUCCGCUCCCCUCCGCGCCGCCUCCGCUCCAUCUCGUCGGAGCUCCAAGCCCCUCCCCUCUUGCACUCCAGGAUCGAUCCAUCGGCAUCACCUUCAUCCUCUGUCCCUCUGCUCAUUCGUGCCGCCAGCCGGACUAGAAGGAGGAUGCGUCGAUUAAGCUCAGGCUCUAGAGGGGCCUCCAGUUUUGCAAAUGGUUCAGCUAGUGCCAACACGAGGGGCCUCCGGUUGAAUGGUUCAUCUGCCUCUCAGCAACUUACCAAUCUGGAUCAAGAAGAGGAGCAAGAUGGUGAAUUCUGGUAUCGCGGCCCCACACGAGUGCCAACACGGCCUACUCGAGAGGAGGAUAAACCCAGGCUUACUCCGAAGAGGGAUAAGUAAUUACUCCGAAGAGGCUGAUAAAAGAGUAUUUCCCUGGAGUGGUGAAGGCUCUGUUUUUUUCAGCUUGGGAUUAUUAUAAUAUAGAUUAUUAGGAGUAAGUUAAAAAAACAGAGAACUUAUUGAAGUAGCUUAUUAUAAUCUGUAGCCCAGCUUAUUAUAAUCUGAUAAGCUCAUUUUUGUGAGCUUUUUCCAAAUUAUUGGGUGAAAAAUUAUCCACCAUGCCACCACACUCUCUCUUUAGACUUGUAAACCUAAUAAUCUAGACUCUAAUAAUCUAGAAAAGAAAUAACUCAUAACUUAUUCUAGUACAGAUUAUAACAAUCUAGCUUAUAGUAAUGUGACUCAAUAAUCUAGAUUAUAAUAAUCUUAAGCCGAAAGAAACAAGGCCGAAGUUCAAUGGCAGAGAUGAGCCUGCAUGGUCUGCUGAACAUUACAGUCUACUAACAGAUAAUCCCAAAGAGAAUCAAACUAGCUUACCAAGCCUUCUUCAUCGCGUUGAAGAAGAAUUUUGGCGUUACUUUAGAUGGGCAGAGGGCAAAGAAAAAGAGGCUAGAAUGGUUGUGCACAACUGUGUGAAGCAACUCUUCACAAAUAUUUUCUAUGAAACUCGUAUGUGGGCUGUGAUUAACUACCAUAAGAAGAUUCUCAAACAAGAUAUUACUCGGGAGGAGGCUGCAUGAACAAAUUGUAGGCGCUUCAAAGCAACCUCAACAUAGACUUUUUGCCUCCAUGUCCACCUUCACUUACUCAUCUGGCAACAUCUGGAUCUGAUGAAGCGUCAACUGGAAACCCAAUUGUCGGUAGUGAGAGAAUGGUCCAUGAACCAAAUAUCACAGAGCAGGUUGACUUCGUUGCUGGUGCCAGUGGUCUGCGUGUGGCAUGAAUGUUUGAAAAUUACUCAUACUUAUUGAAGGAUCUGGUAGCUGCGUUCU